UCCUCUAAUGCUUGGGGGGAGCAAACUGGUCUAGCAGGGGGUGGUUUCUUCUCUGAGUUGCUCUGUGUUGGAGAUAAUUCCCCUCCAGAGACUAACAGCAAACUGUGACUUGCUCACUCAGUUCCCUGAGGUGAAAGGCACCCCGCAAAGGGAGGUAGCUUUGCUCUGCCCCAUCGAGGGUGUGGGAGCACAUGGCUGUUUGGGCUGGAGCUUGUUACAAAGGAGCUGGCCCAUCAAGCAAGCUGGGCUGCCUCUCCUGGACUGCAGAGUGUAAGAGAAAGAAGCUACCCUAAGGUGUGUCAAUCACGCAUUCUAAGAUUAUAAACCCUUCAUUCAUCAUCCUUCCUUUUGAAAAUAUCAUUGCAAUAUGAACAGAUGGCAACAAGGUGAAACAGAAUGAAAGAUGCUACCAGUUUUAAACUAGCAGAUGAAGAGUCUGAGGCUGCUAAAGAGACUGCGUGUGUUGCAAAAAGUAUUGCUGUGUGAUAUAAGCAGUAGACACAGCAAUGUGGGCAAACAGAAAAAAAGUCUAGGCACAUAGAGACCAGAACCAAACUGAAAACAGAUAGUGUGUCCUGCUGUAGGGAACAGGAGAGGAGAAGUCCUUCCAGUCCAUACAUGCAAAGCACUAAGCAUCAGGGGUGGCAUAAACAUAACCACAAAAUGACAACAA